GGGGCUAUAGCUCAGGUGGUAGAGCGUCUGUAUGGCAUACAGAAGGUCGAGGGUUCGAGUCCCUCUAGCUCCA
rnacentral:tRNA from 1 species